GAAUGUAUGGCUUAGUUGGUUAGAGCGCUUGAACGAUUUCCAAGGGGUGCGGGUUCGAAUCUCGUUACGUCUC
rnacentral:tRNA from 1 species